AAUCUCUUGAGAUCUCUUCCCCCUUGGACUUAAACACUGGGUCUGAGUGGCUGACAAAAAGGAGGAAAAGUAAACCUGAAAUGGACUAGGAGUUUUUAGUGACAUACAAGUUCAUUUCAAACAGAU
rnacentral:snoRNA from 1 species